GUCUUGCUCUUGCUGCAGAAAGCACCAAAAAGGCCUUUCAUCCCAGCAACAUAACGUACAUCAUACCACCAUUCAGCGUUCUUCCACACGAUCGUCAUCUGCAAACCAUCGACCCAAGCCUGCAUGGGAAGACCGUCACGCCAGGUCCAGGCAAUUGGACUGUUACACCCUCACAUGAUGGUCCGCCGUCGCCCUUUGUUCCGACAACGAUAACAACACCUGGCUCGGCUUCCUAUGAGCUCUGCACCACCGAAUUCUGUGUGAAAGAAGGC